CAGGCUUUUAACACAAGGUCUUGGUCUUAAACCUCUUGUUAUUUAUACCCCAUAUUUAUACAUGCAAGCCUCAACAUGACAGUGAAAAAGCCCACCUCAACCAACCAAGGAGCUGGUAUCAGGCUAAUAGCCCAUUACACCAAGCAAACAAGCCACACCCCCACGGGCCCGCAGCAGUACUUAAUAUUGGGCCAUAAGCGCAAGCUUGACCCAAUAAUGGGUAUUCUUAGGGUCGGUUAAUCUCGUGCCAGCGACCGCGGUUAUACGACAGACCCAAAAUAACACCACCGGCGUAAAGCACGACUAAAACUCCAAAGUCCUUAUGCUAGGGGUAAAGAUAAGCUAGGCUGUAAAAAGCCAUAAGCAACACUAAAUACACAACCCUAACACCACAAACAACUUUAACUCGUGAAAGCCAGGACACAAACUAAGAUUAGAUACCUUACUAUGCCCGGCCUUAACAAAACAACCAAAAAACCAGUUGUUCGCCAAAUAACUACGAGUAAAAACUUAAAAUUUAAAAGACUUGACGGUACUUCAUACCGACCUAGAGGAGCCUGUCCAAUAACCGAUAAUCCACGAUUAACCCAACCAACUCUAGCCCAACAGUCUAUAUACCGCCGUCGCCAGCUUACCUUGUGAAAGAAACAAAGUAAACCAAAUAAUUUCCCAUUAAUACGACAGGUCGAGGUGUAACUAAUGUGUUGGAACAAGAUGGGCUACAUUUUCUCACCAGAAUAAACGAACAAACUAUGAAACUAGAAAUUGAAGGCGGAUUUAGCAGUAAGCUAGAAAUAAACAUGUCUAACUGAAACUAACGCAAUGAAGUGCGCACACACCGCCCGUCAUCCCUGUAAAACAAACAACAAAUCUAUAAUCAACUAAAUUAACCCUAAAGCAGGGCAAGUCGUAACAUGGUAAGCGUACUGGAAAGUGUGCUUAG
rnacentral:ncRNA from 1 species